UGAACCUAUAUUACGUUUUCCAUAAUUUUCUUUCUUUUUUUUUUUCCGGAGCUGGGGAUCGAACCCAGGGCCUUGCGCUUACUAGGCAAGCGCUCUACCACUGAGCCAAAUCCCCAACCCCCUUUUUUUUUUUCCAUAAUUUUCUAAAAUUGCGUCUACAUGUUUGAUUGUUUCCUGUGAGUAGUGUGGUGUGUGUGUGUGUGCCGCAGUGCACAUGUGGACAUCGGAGAGAAAGACUUGUGGGGUUCACUUGUCUCCUUUUACCGUAUGAAUCCAGGCAGUCAAACUUACGCAGUCAGGUUUAGCCGCAAGAGACUUUCCCUGCUAAGCUAUUCCCCAGCAAGUUAUGUUUCAAUAAAAUGUUUUCAAUUUAUAUCCUUAGUAUCUUCUGUUGAAUUUUAACUCAUCUUCAUUGUUUUUAAUGAUGUAUCUAUGUGUUUGCCCGUGUGUAGGGAUGUACACUCGAGUGCAGUUUAGGAAGAGGUCAGAAGCAGAGGAUCCCCUUGGAGCUUGUUAGCCACUGGAUGGGGGUGCUGGGAUGUGAACUCUGGUCCUCCGGAAGAGUAGUUCCGGCUCUUAACCGCUGAGCCAUCUCUCCAGCCCCUGACGUUGCAUUCUCAGUUGAGAGAAAAUAAGAAGUGAGCUUGUUAAAUGUGUGAGACCCCACAGUUUGUGUCCCCGUCAUUUAGUGGAGUAGUUUUCAUAAUAACAUAAUUCAAGAGGAAGAGAUGUAGCACCAUCCAAUAUUUUUCUUUACUGUCUGACCGGCGCCCAUGGGGUCAAAUGGCUGUGACGUCACAAUCCUUAACAUCAAGUCGGGGAAUGGAAUACAAUGUUGCUUUUCCCAAGGACACUUUCAAAGAAAAACUUAACUCCCAAAUGGUGCUAAAGACAGCGCAUUCCAGAGCUUAAUUAACCAAGCACUUGGGGAAGAUUGAACUGCUAUUACGCUGACACCUUUAAGAACAGAUUGACUGGGGUGAUAUUAUUUGUAGAGGUGUUUAGUGUUACAUUACCCUGAUGGGGAACAGCUGCUUCGUCCCUGAUGAUUACACUAGGAAGUGUGUGUGUGUGUGUGUGUGUGUGUGUGUGUGUGUGUGUGUGUGUGUGUUAAAGGCAGGAGGAGACUCCGUCCCUGAUGAUUACAUUAGGAAGUAAGUGUGUGUGUGUGUGUGUGUGUGUGUGUGUGUGUUAAAGGCAGGAGGAGACUUUACAGAACCAGAGGGAACACACUUGGUCAGGCUGGCCCCUAGGGACCACAUCCAUUUUGUUUGUAUUUCUCUAUAUGCAGAUUUUACCAGGUCCAAACCGAGCUGGGCUCCCAGUGAAACCACUCCAGCUAUGCUGACUGGUCCCAGAGCAUCCCUCUGACUGGCACUCAUCCCCCAGUGUUCGUACCGAUGCGAGCCCCACACACACCAGUGCUUUGCUGGUUAUGCUGUGGGUGUGGAUCUGGGCCCCUAAUUCCUACUUAAUGCCAUUUUUUUUCUAUAUUCUGACAGCAUGAAGGAGGACAGAACAAAUUUUAAUUAAAAAAAAGUUAUUGUUCUGGGACUGGAGAGACGGUUCAGUGGUUAAGUGUGCUUACUGCUCUUGUAAAGGACCCAGGCUUAGAUCCCAGAGUCUACAUCAGGUGUCUCACAACCACCUACAGGUUCCAGUUCCAGGGGCUCCAAUGCAUUCUGGCUUCCACAAGUGUCUGCACAUGCAGGGACACAGUAUGCCUAAGUUAGCAAAUACGUACUUUAAUACUUGUUCAAAGAGCAGUGGAAUCAUGCGGGGGUCUAAUCUGCUGUCCUGCUUUUCAGUGUUUUGAGAAUUCCCUCGUUUGCCAGGUAACGACAUCAUUGGGUGAUAGACUCUUCUGUCCUUUUCCCAUCUUUUCUUUUUCUUCCUUUCUUUCUUGAGACAGUCUUUCUGUGUAGCCUUGGCUGACCUGGAGCUCACUAUGUAGACUGGGAUGGUUUGGAACUCACAGAGAUCUGCCUGAUUCAAAGUGCUGGGAUUAAAAGCAGGUACCACAGCACCAACUGGUUACUAGUUUAUCUAAUUUAGUCUUUUAUGUACAUGUCUUAGUCUUUUUAAAACAUUUUUUUAUUUAUUACAUAUAAAUACACUGUAGCUGUCUCCAGCCCAGCAUAUCUUAGUCUUAUUUGAACAACAACUACUAUUUUUAUGCCAUGGACCUAACUUAAGAGAUGUGUUAAUAUGGACUGAAGAGAUGGCUCAGUGGUUAGGAGCGCUGACUGUUCUGUACUAAUAUAUAAUAAAAAAAUCUUCAAAAAAGAUUUAUAAGAGAUGUUAAUAUUUCUGCUGGAUGACUUGCUGAAGAUGACGUCAGAUAUACUCAUAUCUAAUAGCCUUUUGUAGUGAAAUUCCUCCUUGCUCUUCCCAAUGCCCCAGUAUCAUAGCUAUUAAUAUAGAAUCUACUAAUGUAUAUUCACUGUUACCAGGGACUUAACAAUUGGGAAACUCGUAGCACAUAUCAAUACUUUAAGGACUGAACAGCUCACUAUACUAAGGACAUUGUCAGAGUUCGAUAUUUCCGUGUCCAAAGCCAGUUCUCAGUCUGGGAUACUCCUAGCUUCAUUAGCUGUGGUGGAUGCCGUGGUAUGUUAUACACAUCUCCUCACAGAGCCAUAGAUAAUAUUUGAGACCUUCUCCAGGAAAUUGCUUCACCCAUAGCUAUGCCCUGAGUUUGAUGCCAGUAACCAGUUGCCAUGGUCCCAGUUUGUGACAUCACCAAGGCACCCUGUGCUCAGCUUCCGUUUCAACAGCUCUUCAAUUUAGCUUCUCCUUUUGCCUCUUUUGGGGAGCGGGAGCUCCUGAAAAUGCAUCCUGGUGUUUACUUCUGGGCAAGUCUUGGAGGCUGAGAAUCCAAAGGAACUGCCUAAAGCUGGAGGACAGGAUGCUGGAGGAAGUGGGUGUGGCGGGCAUGAGGGCAGCCCCGUGGGCAUGCCGAGGUAUUCGGCUUGGCAAGGAUCCGGGGAACACGGUGCCAUCACAUUGCCAGGAUAGCUGUUAGAACUUCGAUUGGACAUCACCAGAAUUGGCCCAUCACAUCAACAAUAACGCCGACAAGCUCCUGAGCUACAUGAGAUACGAACGUCUUAGGGGGCCUUGGUAAGACGACUGUGAGGUUUGUGCUCUCCAUCAGUGAAAACUUCAGGUAACACGUGCCAUGUCAGAGUGAAGACCUGGCUCUCCUGGGACGUUUCCUUCAAAGUAAAGGACAAAUGGUUGCAUUUCCUAAUUCUUCCACUACUCGGACUGAAGUGCGAUGCUUGGUAGGUCUCUUGGAAGCCGCGUUUACCUCUGGGCCUCCUUCCAGUAACAGAGAGAUGUUUCCGCUGUGAUUGGUGCUUCACAGAAGUCCAGGAUGCAAGAACAGCCCCGCGUCGCUGGUCUUUCUCACCAGCAGCCCUAAGCCGUGGAAGCCAUUUUGCCCUGCCGCAUAAAUUCUUCUACCGCUACACCAGGUUCCCCUACGGAGAGUUUCACCUCCAGAUCCACAUGCUGUGAAGGAGACUUUAAUGUGGGGUAUAAGCAGAGAGGCUAUGGAGAACUUGAAUAAGAGGAAAUGUUCAGAAAAUCGGGGAAAGUGAGCCAAGGAUGAAAAGGGCAGGGGCCCCAGUCAGUAACUGUGUGCUUAUCUAAUUGAUCGAUAUAUAAACGAGGAAGAUAGGGAGUAGUUAGAACUGGAAAUCACAUCAUUUAAAAGGCAACACAAGGCUAUGCUCUGGCUACGGUUGCCCGCAAGAAACUUGAAUAAUGUCAAGUGAAUGCAUGGUUCCCCACUAGCUUGAUGGGGACACAGCCGGGCCGCUCCAGUGAAAUCAUGUUUGGUUGGCUCUCCCAUCAGUGACCAGGUGACAUUACCACGGGCCUCCACUGCCCUGCUCCAGCAUCCUGGGCUCCUGUCUGCAGCCAAGGCUCCCAAAGCUUGGGCCCAAAAGGCCUGAUUCUUUUCCAAAUUCCUAUGCCCAUGCCAUGAGCAUGUACCUCCUGCCGUAAUAGGGGUGAGGCCACUGCCCGUGCUGUUAGUUCCCGUGCAGCCGUUAUAGCUGUGGGCCUUUGGGCUUCCAGGACCCCUAAAGAGCCCAGAGGAAUGGUCUUCUCAUCAGAGGAAUGGUCUUCUCAACCUGUCCCUUGUAAAGGGAUUGCAUGGGAGAUAAUCUGGGGAAUGCAUAGUCAGAGACAGUGGGGGUGAUUGGUGCACAGGAAAUAUACGUUUUGAAGCUUUAUUUUACUUUUAAUUAUAUCUAACUCAGGGGUAGAUGUGCCUGUAAGUGCAGGUGCCUGUGGAGGCCAGAAGAGGGCGUCAGAUCCCUUGGAACUGGAGUUACAUGGCAGGUGCCAUGUGGAUGCUGGGAACUGACCUCAGCUCGGUAUGUGCUCUUAACCUCUGAGCCAUCCCUCUAGCCCAACGAAUAUAAAUUUUAAACACCUUCCCAUGUGGCAAAAUACUUUUUAGUUGUGAUCAUAGAGAAAAAUUACAAUAACGACCAGAAGAGAAAUGUCUCAGUAGGAGUUUGCUUUUUUUUUUCUUCCCCCUUUAACUUUGCAUGUACAACCAGGGCCCAUAAGUAAAUGGUAAAAAAAACCCACAGCACAAAAAGGAAAAAAAUGAGAUGGAUUCUUUUAAUUACACCAAUGCACUUUUUCCUUUAAUUAUGUAUGUUUUCAAGUACAGCAAUACUGGAGAGUAUUAUGGUAAAUAUUCAGAUACCUGAUACUUAAAUCUUGUGUUAUCCUUCGUCAUAUUUGUAUUAUUAAAAAAAUAAUCCUU